ensembl:misc_RNA Metazoa_SRP Metazoan signal recognition particle RNA
GCUGGGCAUGGCAGUGGGUGCCUGUAAUCCCAGACACUUGGGAGGCUGAGGCAGGAGAAUUGCUUGAGCCCGGGAAGCAGAGGUUGCAGUGAGCCGAGAUGGUGCCACUGCACUCCAGCCUGGGCGACACAGCGAGAUUCUGUCUCAA